AUGCCCGGUUCGAGUCCGGAGGAAUGUGUGAUAUUAUGAUGAUGCUCAAUGAAUUAUAGAACUAAUGAUUACAUACCUAUGCUAUGACAAUGUUGCUUUCUUUAUGUUGAAUUAUGGUAUGGGUACUUGGAAGUGGAUUUCGGUAAUGAGUCAUGGCGGGGUUGUGCUACCCGCAGUUUUUGGUAAAUUGAUGGAGUAGUUGUGCUUUAUGGUAUUAUUGGUUGUAUUCUUUUGUGUACUCUCCGGUGGUAUGGGACGCCGUGAUGAGUUUUUUGUUUUGCUCUCUUUCGUGUACUUCCCGGCAGUAUGGGACGUCGUGGUAAGUUCUUGUAUGUAUGUUCUAAAGAUUGUUGAUGAUGAUUAUGGCAAGUAGAUGUUUUGCUAUUGUGUAUAUGGUUGUACGCUUUCGAAAUAAUACUCAGUUGUUAUGGUGAUUAUGGAGUAUAUUGAAAUAGUAUGUCAUGUUAUUGCUUUAGUAGUAUAGAUGUUGUUACAGUGGUACCAAAGUAGAUUCAGGUACGAUCCUAUACCUUGACUUUAAGAUCAUUGUCUUUCUUUAUAUCGUCUUUACAUUAUAUUUGAGCUCAGUCGGCCGAUGAUGCGUACUGAGUGUUUUGGUACUCAUACUACACUUCUGUACCUUUUUGGUGCAGACCCAGGUUCUAGUUGCCGCCGUUGAGCUAGUUCGUACGAGUUGACUAUUCGGAGACAGGGCUUGGGCUGAAAGAAUAAGGAAAUGUGCGUCUGAGACUUCUGCUAGAGUUGAGUCGGAUACUAUCUACGAACUAGAGAAGGAGAAUUAGCCUUCAAGUGAAACUUCCUUAAGGUGAAAUGCUCCUGGAUUUAAUUAGACAAGUUGAAUGUUGUCAAUCUCAGUGCUGUGAGAUGUUGAAAGGUUCUCUCAGUAUCAAGGUAGUUUCUACCUUGGCAUUGGAGAGACCUAAAUUUUCUUCAUAUCUCAUACUAUAGGUAAAAUAUCUUAUGCUUCUUCAGUUUCGUGAAUCCAUGUAAGUAUCAAGUUAGUUCUCUUGAGAAAUAACCGAGAUGCUGUUUAGCUCUAUGUUACUCUCUACAUACUUCCCACAAUUUUCACUAUUAUUUGAACUUAUAGUUGUUACUUUUAUUAAUUAUAGAUAUGAUUAUAAUAGCAGUUGAGUUAUUUUCCUAAAGGUCGUAGGAUCUUUUCCCACGAAAUACUUAACAGCUUUCAUAGCUCAGUUGGUUAGAGCACCUGUUUAGUAAGCGGGAGGUCUUGAGUUCGACUCUCAAUGAAAGCAUUUGUCAGACCCCACUUUGUGGGAAUAUACUGGGUAUCUUGUUGUAGUAUAUGAUCAUAAUUAGCUAUUAUCGUAUUUAGUCUCUUGCUUUAUGCUUCUAGUGAAAGGUUGUUACGAACCCAGUGGACGUAUUUUCCCAUGUAAAGCAUGUGAGAUGCAAAGAAUAGCAGAGUUUGGGGCAAAGAAAGGCAUGCAUAUUGUUGAGUAAAGAGUCUGAUACCUCAUCUCCAUUCUCUUGGGUGUACUCAUUCUUGCUGUCCCUAAUUACUUGUUAUUCUGUAUUUUCCAUUGUACAUUGUAAUUAAGUAGAGUGAGUGUUUCUAUUACUGGAUAUUUUCAAGCGGUUAAGUCAUCUUAAUUGAUUAACCCUGCAUUACCGCUUCCUUGGUCUAGUAUCACAUCGUUUGUUUUUCCUCAUCUCCUUUUAGCUAAUAUAACACCAGCCCUUUCCUAACAAUCAUGUAAAAAUUAGAGCUUGAAAUGACCAAAUAAUCAGAGAGUUUAUAACAUACUGAUAUUAAAAAUGAUGAUGCUAAAGUAAUGAUAAAAAUAAAAGCUAGAAAGAAAGUCGAGGAAUGCAUGUACUUCCUUGUACAUGUGAAAAUAUUUAAAAGGGAGGAUGACCCAAUCAAGUCUUGUUGCGUAAAACUAACUUGGUGAUCUUUUUUCUUGUCAGUCGAUUGGUUAUAUUUCGUGACCUUGUGUCUGCGCCUAAGCAUGUCUACUGAAAUCUCUCUUCAAGUGGCUUAGUUGUUGAUUGGCUUCAUCAUAAAGAUAUACUUGAAUUUCAUUUCUACGUACGGAUGAUAUUGUAGACUAUUUCAUUGUACUUUUGAUUUUUUAAUGGUCUUGAAGCUUUUAUUUUGUUUAUAAGUCAACGUGUCGUGAUGAGUGUAUAGUUGGAGUCUUGGAGACAUACUGAAGUAGAUCUUUUUGUUUUACUUUUUUGUAUUCUAGAGAUAGAUGGUUUCAUUGACAGAGGGCAAAUUCCUGAACUCUGGUGGUUGAAUGGGGGAUUUUAAUUUUGCUAAACUUUGAUUAAAUUCACCACGGUUGCUACAAAAAGAUCGCAAGAAUCUCUUUCUAUAUCUGUCUGUCUUUGGUUGAUUUGGGAUAAUCUGGCUUUUGUAAAUGGGUUAAGCUAAGAAUUCUUUGCUUUCUUGUCUUAAUUGCGGUAGAAGACUCAUGGUGCAUUAGCAGUAGGCUGUUCUGGCUUUGAAGAGUGACAAAUACACUAUCUGGUAUAAAACUGUUCUCAAAACCCUUAAAAAGUGUAAAUGGGCUUAGUGAACUUAUCACUCCGAUUCUGCUUAUUAGAUGAGCAUACAGUGGAGGUGAAUCUGUUAGGUGAAGGCUCUCUCCCCCCUCUCUCUCUCUCCCAAUGGCUCUCUCCCCCCUCUCUCUCUCUCCCUACCCUCUCUCCACCCCCAGCUUACCGGCCUCCGGUCCCCGACGCCGUCGCUGACCUUCGGCGCCG